UACGGGGGGGGCAAGCGUUGUUCGGAAUUACUGGGCGUAAAGGGCGCGUAGGCGGUUGGAUAAGUCAGCUGUGAAAACCACGGGCUUAACUCGUGGCCUGCAGUUGAGACUGUCUGGCUUGAGUGUGGGAGAGGAGAGUGGAAUUCCACGUGUAGCAGUGAAAUGCGUAGAGAUGUGGAGGAACACCGAUGGCGAAGGCAGCCCCCUGGGUCAAGAUUGACGCUCAUGCACGAAAGCGUGGGGAGCAAACAGG
rnacentral:rRNA from 1 species